GUGUGCUCCAUGCAGGGGUUAGUACUCGCAUGAGUCUGCUAGUAACAAGUACCGAGAAGGAAAGUUGAGACGUACUCUAUUUGGAGAGUAAAUAUUACGUGAAGCCGAUUUCAGGGAAGCUAGGGAGUCAAGCUUCAUGCGUGAGGAGUUUUUAUCAUGAGUUAUUGUGGUUUUGCAUGUGAUCAGUCAGCUUGGGAUAAGUUGGGCACAUUAGUGUGUAUCAUGUCAUUCUGGGUAGUGUGUUUGAAGCUGAUCGUAAUGCGUUGCUCAUGGUAAUCUAUUCUUCGCGGCGUAAAUCACAGUCGAUACUGUUGCGCCCGAUGAUUGUCUAACUGUGCUUCGGUAGGCCUCGUGUUUACCGGGUGCAGAAUGGCAGGUACGGCCAUUAGUCUCCGGAUUAAUGUGUCUUCGAAGAUGAAGCCGACUUUCAUUUGUGGUGUCUUCAGUAUCGUGAUUGCUUGGUGUCUCGUCUUCGGACCUGGCAUUGGUUAGAACUGUGAUUCUGAGGUAGA
rnacentral:rRNA from 1 species